ACUCAAAGGAAUUGACGGGGGCUCACACAAGCGGUGGAGCAUGUGGCUUAAUUCGAGGCUACGCGAAGAACCUUAUCCCGGACUUGACAUGUGCGAAAGCGCCUGCAGGUAGGACCCGGAAACGGGGACGAACGGUAUCCAACCCGGAAGCAGGUACAGGUGCUGCAUGGCUGUCGUCAGCUCGUGUCGUGAGAUGUCGGGUUAAGUCCCAUAACGAGCGAAACCCUUACCCCUAGUUGCAACCUAACGGGCACUCUAGGGGGACUGCCGGUGUCAAACCGGAGGAAGGUGGGGAUGACGUCAAGUCCUCAUGGCCUUUAUGUCCGGGGCUGCACACGUGCUACAAUGGCGUGGACAGAGGGACGCGACGCGGCGACGCGAAGCCAACCCCCGAAAGCACGCCCCAGUUCAGAUCGCAGGCUGCAACCCGCCUGCGUGAAGCCGGAAUCGCUAGUAAUCGCGGGUCAGCAACACCGCGGUGAAUGUGUUCCUGAGCCUUGCACACACCGCCCGU
rnacentral:rRNA from 1 species